CGACGCUGGGUCACGGGGGUGCCGGGGACGGACGUGGGGCACGGGCAGAGGAACCGGGCGUCCCCCCCCCCGCCCCCCCAAGCCCCGCUCGACCCCAAAAGCCUUUCGGCUCGGCCCACCCGUUAAGCAGAGGGGGCGACACCAGUGGGGCCGAGCCCCGGUGGCAACCAGCCCCGGGGUGCUCGCACCGCCCCGGCCCUGUUCCGGGGGAGGACCCCAGCCCGAUCCCCGCCGCCCGCCCCCGCUUCCCUUCGCUCCCCCCCCCGUCCGCCGGUUGCUGCUGCACGGUGGCGGCCCGGGGAGCGGCACCGGGACCGGGACCGGGACCGGGACCGGGUGGGGUGAAGCCGGGCUGUGUUUGCACGGAGCCCCCGGUGCGGCCCCCCCGAUGGCACCCCCGGUGCCUCCCCCCGGGACAUGCACCUGCCGGGGGGGGGGGGGGGGGGGCACGGGGGGUGCUGAGAGGCGGGGGGCGAGGGGGGACGGGACCGGACGGGGCCCGGUGGGGCGGGACGGGACGCGACCAGACGGGACAGGACGAGAUCUUACGGUACAAGACGGAACCAAACGGGACGGGACCGGACGGGACCGGGCUUGACGGGACCAGACGGGACGGGACGGGACCAAACGGGGCUGGACGGGACGGGACGGGACGGAACGGGACGGGACGAGGCUGGACGGACGGGACCAGACGGGACCGGGCUGGACGGAUCCAGACGGGUCCGAACGGGACCGGACGGAACGGGACGGGACGGGACGGAACGGGACGGGACGAGGCUGGACGGACGGGACCAGACGGGACCGGGCUGGACGGAUCCAGACGGGUCCGAACGGGACCGGACGGAACGGAACGGGACGGGGCACUCUGACGCCCGCGGGACGUUCUCGGUCCGAGGUCCCGGGAACUCGCUCCCGGGAACGCGCCCGGUGCUGGCGGCUGCCCCGUGGGAGGAGUGGGGGGGGGGGGGGCGGCCGCAGCGCUUCUCCGUGACGUCACCGCCCCCUGCCCCGACGGCGGCGGAACCGCAGCGGCCGCGCUCGGUUGCCAUGGCAACGCCGGCCGGCGGGCUGCGCCGCGAGGAGGAUCUCGCGAGAGGUUGGGCGAGCCCGCGCGGAGCAUUAUGGGAGUUGUAGUUCUACUAAAUGGGGGCUCCCUAUGUCGGAAGCUCCCCGCGCGGAGCAUUAUGGGAGUUGUAGUUCCGGGCCUAACC
rnacentral:lncRNA from 1 species